rnacentral:rRNA from 1 species
UGGGGAAUUUUGGACAAUGGGGGCAACCCUGAUCCAGCCAUGCCGCGUGCGGGAAGAAGGCCUUCGGGUUGUAAACCGCUUUUGUCAGGGAAGAAACGCUCUGGGCUAAUACCCCGGGGUAAUGGCGGUACCUGAAGAAUAAGCACCGGCUAACUACGUGCCAGCAGCCGCGGUAAUACGUAGGGUGCGAGCGUUAAUCGGAAUUACUGGGCGUAAAGCGUGCGCAGGCGGUUGUGCAAGACAGAUGUGAAAUCCCCGGGCUCAACCUGGGAACUGCAUUUGUGACUGCACGGCUAGAGUGUGUCAGAGGGGGGUAGAAUUCCACGUGUAGCAGUGAAAUGCGUAGAGAUGUGGAGGAAUACCGAUGGCGAAGGCAGCCCCCUGGGAUAACACUGACGCUCAUGCACGAAAGCGUGGGGAGCAAA